CCCAGCUCCGAAAAAAAAGAAAAAAGAAAAAAAAAAGUAGUCUUGUUUUUUACAUAUUUAAAAAAAGACUUAUGUGUAUAUCAUGUACAUCCUGGAACUGGAGUUGUGAACAUUUGUGAACAGUCUUGGGAGUGCUAGGAAUCGAACCCAGCUCCUCGGCUAGACCAAGUGCUCUUAACCACUGAACUAUCUGUCUGCCCCACCCCCAAUUUUUAAAGAUAUAUUUUUAUUUCUUGUGUCACAUGUAUGAAUGUUUUACCUGCAUGAAUAUAUGUGUGCUUUGUAUGUGUCUAAUGCCUGCAGAGAUCUCAAGAGUGCAUCUGAUCCCCUAAGGAAGAAGUUUGCGGAUGGUUGGGAACCGCCUUGGAGGUGCUAGGAACUGAACCUGGGAUCCUCCGGAAGAGGAAAAAGACGUUCACCACUUAGCAAGCUCUCCAGCCCCUAAUUUUCUUUCCCGUUUCGUUAUGUUGUGUAGCAAGGGCUACAAAGGGAAACUUACUAUAGACCAGACUGGCCUCGAAUUCACAGAAAUCCGCUGGCCCAAGCCACCACGUCUGGCCCAGUUGCUCUCUUUAAUGGCCUUUAUCCUGCCCCUAAAAUGGUCCUUCCACUGCGUCCCUCAACCCCACUGAGCUGGCAAUUCCUUUCACAUCGUUCCCUGUCAAGGGUCAUCCCCACACUUCGCGCCCAGCGCUGACUGUGAGGACUGACCGCACGGUGGCGCUAGGGAUCGCAGUGGACAAAUCACUACUGCUGCAAUCAGGUGACUGCGCUAACCCGAGGCUCGGGACUCGCCCUGGUGUCAGGGGCUCAGUCCCAGCACUUGGGAAGUGAAGGCAGAAAGAUCGGAAGUGUGAGGUUAUCUUCAGUUACGAGAGUUCAAGGCUAACCUGGGCUACAAGAGACCCUGCUCGAAAUAACAUGGCGAUGAACGUCCUCCAGGCAGCUCUUCCUUACUUGACAUCCACAUCCAUCCUUCUGCAGAGGACAGUCCCAGGCAUCUAGCACAGCACACGACACAGACAACAAGGGGCUGUCACCCGCCUGUGCUUCUUCCUAUAACUAAACACAGUGAGAAAGAUGGAGGACAGAGGCGGGAAGAGCCAGUUGCAGGAGCUGAAGCUCCCAGAGGUGAAGUGGCUUGCUCCAAGUCAUCAGGCCAGAAAGAGAAGACACUGAGGUCCCAAGAUAAGAAGGAAUAUGCUGCAGAUUUUUGAUUCGUGUCAGAACCUAGACUAGAAAGCAUCCAAGGCUUAAGUGGACUAAGGCUGACUUUGGUCAGCUGACUGCAGCAUGGGGGUGCCAGAUCUUCCCUCUAAGGCCUCAGUUUCUCCAUUUGGAAAUAACUGCUGAAAUGAAGUAAUUAUGAAUGACCACCAUAUACUAGCCAAUUUCUAUAGUUAGCACUCCUAGCCAUCACCAAAAAAAUUAUCUUUGGUGCAGCAUCCGUAUCCCCAGAAACACAAGUGUCCCCCGAAAGCCGCAGAAGGAGAAAACUACAACACCCAUGACGCCCAGCGCUGCGUCUGCGCAUAGUGAUCAGUCCGCGAAACCCUACUCGCCAUCUAGCGGCGGCCUGGAGAAGCGCUCCGCUCGGAUCCCCGAGAGGCGGAGGACCCGCGGUGCACGCAGUCGGGAUAUUCCGCUGCAGCCGCGAAGCCGGGGG
ensembl:lncRNA